rnacentral:lncRNA from 1 species
AAUGAACAUUAAUUAGCAGCUUAAAAUUAUUUUGUUUUAAUAACCAAAAGUAUUAAGAAAAGAACUCACAUAAAUGCAUACUUAAAUCAACAAUCCUAAAUCCAAUUUGUCGAUCACAUACAUAACGAUCUAAAUCAAAUUCUUGGAUUACUAAUUAAACAGAAAAGCAACAAAUUUGUCUAUUUGAAGUAUACUAUCCCUCUCUUUGAAAAAGAAAAAAAAAAAACUCUAGGCCUCAAUCUUUGUUUCUUCUGUUUUUGGCUUCUCUUCUUGACCCUUUACUUCCUCAGUCUUAGGUUCUUCUUCCUUAGGUUCAGCCUUCACUUCCUCAGCGUCAGCCUUGCCUUCUUCUGGCUUCUUUGCCUCCUCCACAUUCUACAAUAUAGAAGUGGUAUUAUUAGGAGAAUGCGAUGGUUUAUGGGAAUUAUUGAAAUUAGACAAGCCAAACACGAAGAAAAUAAAAUAAAGGAAAUGCUAACAAAUUUCUUUAGAAUACUUAUUAAGACAAUUAAAGUGACAAUGUUAUCUUAAAAUUGACAUGUUCAAUACAUUGAAACUUUAAAAUGUAAUUUUUUUUAUCAAACUUAUCAACUAUUUUCUUUUAAAUCAUUAUCAAGUACUUUUAAGACAUUUGUUAACAUGAUCUAUAAUAUAAAUAAGGAUAUUUUCUGUUAUUUAUUUAUAAGAGAAAUUUUUUAAGUUCAUAACAAAAAUUGAGGGUGGCCCAAACAUAAGGCAUGUCAAGCCCUUACUUUAAGGGUGUGUUUGGAUUGAGAGUUUAGGAGGAGAAAGGAGGGUAGAGUUCACUUUUAAUUUUUAAAUUACGAACAACAUAAAAUAUUUUUUAGAAUAAAUUAAGUGUUUUUGAAGUGUUAUAUAAUCAUUUAUCAUGUUGUUAAUUCAAUUUUCUAAAAAUCAUUUCAUAAUGUCCAUAAUUUAAAAAAGAAAAGGAAGCCCUCCCCUCCCUUCCCCUUUUAAAUCCUCCAUCCAAACACACCCUAAGAAAAUUGUUCUUUUCCCUUUCAAAAUUGCUCAUUCCCUUGAUACAACGGAAGUUAACUCACGUUCAACAUUUUUCAGCGGUAGUUAACUCACAUUGACAUUUUUUAGAUCAGUUCAAUCGCAUUUUAAGUUGGGUCAACCAUUCUUAAAAGUGUCAGCGUGAGUUAGCUACUGCUGAAAAAUGUCGUGAGUUAACUUCCGUGGUCGCAAAAUUUAGUGACGGAAUUAGAGAGGGAUUUCACGUUUUCCCUCACUAAAUUUUCCUCAUUAUUUUUUGAUUUUUUAGUAGUGCAUGUACAAGGUGUACCAGGAAAGAACCAGAGUCACAGACAUAUGUACAAAGAAAAAUAGUAAAACCGAAACAAGGUACACAGAGAAAGAAACAUUAACCGAUGCCCAACAUAGUGAACGGACUAAGCCACCAAGCAAUUAUUUAUUUCAAUCAAAAAUAAUUAUACAUACUAUAAAAUAAAAAUACAAAAAAUAAAUAUCAAUUUAUGAAAAGAUGAAUGUACAAUAAAAUUCAUGUCUCUUUUUGUUAAUAUGUUUUAUUUUCUAAAAGUAACAAAUUUUAAUUACAGUACAUAUUCCUUCCUUAAAAAAAAGUACAUAUAUAAUCGAUACAUUUUUAACUUUCUUACCAAAAAAAUGCUUAGUUUAUUUUUGUAUAAUAUAAUUUUUAUGGCAUUAUUUCUUACAUUUUUUUCUUGAAAAAGGACACAUCCGCUUUGUUAGACCUCGUUUUAAUGUUCGGUUUAGACUUACAUUGUGUUGGGUCGGCUAUACUAAAACUACAGGAUUUUGUCAAGCUAGUUCUAUAUGUUUUCAAUGUUAUAAAAUAAUCCUAAUGUUAUUUAUAACAAAUCUUAAACCAUAUGUUAAUAAAGUCUGCGGUUUGUGAUAUCUACUUAUCGUUUUAGCAAGGAUAAACUAUCUUUCAAAUGAGUGACUUCAUAAGUUUACCAUAAGAUUAUGUUAUCAACUCUCCCAAUACUAAUACCAGUAUGUUAUUUGUGUUUUCAUUUUUAGGAAAUAUUUGUAUAUUACUUGUUAUUAACUAAAGAGCAUUGCUAUUUAUCUAAAGAGUUUUCAUCAAGAAUUUAUCAAGAAAAUGCCACACAACCAAUUAAAUUUGUUAUUUGACGAAAGUCAAAGGAAAUAAUGAUGUGUAAUUAAGGAAAAGUGUUAACAAAUACAUUGUCUUGAAAUUUUUUUGAUAAAUUUUGUCACUCUAUCUAUCAUUUCCUUUAAUUAAAUUAAAUACAAUACAUGCGUUACAUUAUUUACUAAUUGUUAUUAAACUCAUCAUAAAUUGUAUAGAAAAGGUUUAUAAAUUUUACCAAAUGACAAAUUAUUUAAGAGAACCCGAAUUUGAUUCAUCACAAAUACCAACAAAUGAAUAGGAGGGUUAAAAAAAAAAAAACUCAUCACAAAUACCAACGGAUCAACCUAACUAUCAUUUAUUUUUUUAGAUAACAAAAACCUAACCAUUAGUACCAUUUUACAAUUUCGAUGAUCAUUUUACAAAAACCUAAUCAUCACAAAUACCAAGAGGUGGAUCAACCUAACUAUCAUUUGUUUUUUUAGAUAACAAAAACCUAACCAUUAGUACCAUUUUACAAUUUCCGUGAUCAUUUUACAAAAACCUAAUCAUCACAAAUACCAACAGGUGGAUCAACCUAACUAUCAUUUGUUUUUUUAGAUAACAAAAACCUAACCAUUAGUACCAUUUUACAAUUUCCGUGAUCAUUUUACAAAAACCUAAUCAUCACAAAUACCAACAGGUGGAUCAACCUAACUAUCAUUUGUUUUUUUAGAUAACAAAAACCUAACCAUUAGUACCAUUUUACAAUUGCCGUGAUCAUUUUAUGAUGUAUUAUGGGGGAGUUGAGAUCCUCUCCAUUUAAGCCCUCUCAAUUUUUUCUAUUUAAAAAGAUAGAGACAUAGAGAAAUUGAAAAGAUUCUCACUCACUAUAGGGAGCUAAACUCAUUAGGUUCAACAAUUUUAAAGAUAAAAUUAAACAUUUACACUUUUUAAAACAAUAAACUAUUUCAAACUAAUUAAUUUUCAAAGAAAAAAUAUUACCUCAUUGAGCAAGGUGUUUAGAGAUUUGUUAUCUUCAACAGGGGUCUCCUCUGUUGCACCAACCUUAACCUCCUCAGUUAUAGGUACAGGCGCCGGCUCAGGCACAGACACUGGUUCAGGUCCUUCAUUAGUCUUGGGGUUGCUGCCACAGUUUCCCAUGUUGAAUAUGGAUUAAUAUUGAAAAAAAAUUAAGAAGUUAAAGAAAUAAGAACCGUCCUUCCUCUAAGUUAACAAAGAGAAAGAACGAAAAAUAAAAAGGCAAAGAAAGAAGGC